UUAUCGUUUAUUUGAUAGUACCUUACUACAUGGAUACCUGUGGUAAUUCUAGAGCUAAUACAUGCUAAAAACCCCGACUUCGGAAGGGGUGUAUUUAUUAGAUAAAAAACCAAUGCCCUUCGGGGCUCCUUGGUGAUUCAUAAUAACUUAACGAAUCGCAUGGCCUUGCGCCGGCGAUGGUUCAUUCAAAUUUCUGCCCUAUCAACUUUCGAUGGUAGGAUAGUGGCCUACCAUGGUGGCAACGGGUAACGGGGAAUUAGGGUUCGAUUCCGGAGAGGGAGCCUGAGAAACGGCUACCACAUCCAAGGAAGGCAGCAGGCGCGCAAAUUACCCAAUCCCGACACGGGGAGGUAGUGACAAUAAAUACUGAUACGGGGCUCUUUCGGGUCUCGUAAUUGGAAUGAGUACAAUCUAAAUCCCUUAACGAGGAACAAUUGGAGGGCAAGUCUGGUGCCAGCAGCCGCGGUAAUUCCAGCUCCAAUAGCGUAUAUUAAAGUUGUUGCAGUUAAAAAGCUCGUAGUUGAACCUUGGGUCUGGCUGGCCGGUCCGCCUCACCGCGAGUACUGGUCCGGCUGGACCUUUCCUUCUGGGGAAUCCCAUGGCCUUCACUGGCUGUGGGGGGAACCAGGACUUUUACUGUGAAAAAAUUAGAGUGUUCAAAGCAGGCCUUUGCUCGAAUACAUUAGCAUGGAAUAAUAGAAUAGGACGUGCGGUUCUAUUUUGUUGGUUUCUAGGACCGCCGUAAUGAUUAAUAGGGAUAGUCGGGGGCGUCAGUAUUCAGCUGUCAGAGGUGAAAUUCUUGGAUUUGCUGAAGACUAACUACUGCGAAAGCAUUCGCCAAGGAUGUUUUCAUUAAUCAGGGAACGAAAGUUAGGGGAUCGAAGACGAUCAGAUACCGUCGUAGUCUUAACCAUAAACUAUGCCGACUAGGGAUCGGGCGGUGUUUCUAUGAUGACCCGC
rnacentral:rRNA from 1 species